UACGUAGGGUGCGAGCGUUAAUCGGAAUUACUGGGCGUAAAGCGUGCGCAGGCGGUUCGUUAAGUCAGAUGUGAAAGCCCCGGGCUCAACCUGGGAACUGCAUUUGAAACUGGCGGGCUUGAGUGCGGCAGAGGGGGGUGGAAUUCCACGUGUAGCAGUGAAAUGCGUAGAUAUGUGGAGGAAUACCGAUGGCGAAGGCAGCCCCCUGGGAUGACACUGACGCUCAUGCACGAAAGCGUGGGGAGCAAACAGG
rnacentral:rRNA from 1 species